ensembl:lncRNA
ACUUGUUGAGCUCGUGUCUUCAUUGUGCCCGCGCCGGCAGUUAAAGACACAGAAGCCUGCUCUUGUGAGGAGGAGCCGGUGUUCCCAGCUUCUGAAGAGAGGGAAAGUAACGUGAACUUCAUAAUUCCAUCGUGUUAUCUUUUUUUUUUUUUUUUACUAAGACUAAAAGAAUGUUUGUUUUUGUAGAUGUUGAUAGCCAGAGACAAGAUAACUUCAUUCUUUCGAGACUGAUAACUCAAACUAACUUUGGAGUUAAGGACACAGACGCCUGCUUGUGUGAGGAGGAGGUGAUUUUCUCAGCUUCUUCAGAAGAGAGGAAAAGACAGUUUAAGAUGUUGAAAGCCAGAGACAUAGGAGAGCAUCAUUCUUUUGAGAUAUAUAACUCAAACCAACUUUGGAGUUGUCUGAUUUGGAGAGUCAUGAUCCUUGGUCUUCCUUUCUUAAAGGAAUAGUUCACACACACACAAAAAAAUAAUUUACUUGCCCUCAUGUCAUUCCAAACCUAUAAGAGUUUUGUCUGUCUUUACAACACAAAUGAAUAUAUUUUUAAUUUUCUCAUAAUUAUUUGUUAAUCCAUUGAGAGUCUAGAUAAUUGGCAUUUUCAAGCCUCUUAAAUACAGAGUUAUUGUAGAAGUAAUCCAUUCUGAUAUUUACAUAUGAAUAAAUCUUAAAUUAUAUGAUAGCGAACA